CCUACGGGUGGCAGCAGUGGGGAAUAUUGGACAAUGGGCGAAAGCCUGAUCCAGCCAUGCCGCGUGUGUGAAGAAGGCCUUCGGGUUGUAAAGCACUUUCAGUGGGGAAGAAAGCCUUGGGGCUAAUACCCUCGAGGAAGGACAUCACCCACAGAAGAAGCACCGGCUAACUCCGUGCCAGCAGCCGCGGUAAUACGGAGGGUGAGAGCGUUAAUCGGAAUUACUGGGCGUAAAGCGCGCGUAGGCGGUCUGAUAAGCCGGUUGUGAAAGCCCCGGGCUCAACCUGGGAACGGCAUCCGGAACUGUCAGGCUAGAGUGCAGGAGAGGAAGGUAGAAUUCCCGGUGUAGCGGUGAAAUGCGUAGAGAUCGGGAGGAAUACCAGUGGCGAAGGCGGCCUUCUGGACUGACACUGACGCUGAGGUGCGAAAGCGUGGGUAGCAAACAGGAUUAGAUACCCGUGUAGUC
rnacentral:rRNA from 1 species